GGACCGGGAGCCGCCGCCGUGAGCCACCGCUUUAGGAGGGCCGAGGGGAGCGGGCGGGGCUGUGCCGAGCACCGCAGCGUUUCCCCGGCCCCCGCCUCUCUGCCGGGUUCUUCUCGCCAACCCGAUUUUUACCGAGGAGGGAGUCCUGAAGCACAGGGGACGCCUGCGCUUUCUGUCAGCGAGGCCUUUCCCUGGGACUGGAGUUACAGGAGGUUGGAAGCUGCCACGCUGGCCCUGGAAACUGAGCUCGGGUCCUCUGCAAGAGCAACUGGUACUCUUAACCACUGCGCCAUCUCCCCAGACCCUCAACUCUCUUUCUCCCUUACCUUUGUAGACGGGACUUGAACAUGUGAAGACUGCAAAGGAUCUUGUGGAUUGGAAACCAGCAAUGGCUGGACAUCUGUCUGCUCAAUGUGAGCCCGCACGGAUGUUCAGAACUUUCCAUGAAAAGGAAGUUGUCUGAAGAAAAACUGCAUGAGGUCACAGGAAACUUCAAUCGACUGAAAACUGAGACGGAAGCUUAUUUGUUCACCAAAGAGUGACAGUCGUGGGUGCUGCCGGCCACUGAAGCACCCAGCAGCACCUGGGACGGGCUGUCAGGCUGUCUGUGUCUUUCCAUCUGCUAAGAGCUGCUGCCAGCAUUGUAAAAUCUAGACUGCUAGAGCCAGAGACGGCUCAGUGGUUAGGGGCACUAGCUGCCCUUCCAGCACCCUAGCAGGUGACCAGCACUCACUCGCACACACCCACACACAGAUACAUAGCCAGAAUCAGUCUUUAAUAAUAAAACAGCCCCAAACACUAUACUGCCAACUUCCCUUGUCCCAAAACUCAGGUUUCACUUCAAACUCAGGCUUCGGACAGAGGGUUGAUGGGACAGAUAGAAGCAAAUUCCUUUCUGCACUUAAGCACUGUGACUCACGAAGGUAAAACACUCCGUUGGAUAGCGCCCGGCACUAGGCUUAACAAGAGGCGGCAGUCUUCAACGCCUCGUUUUCAGACAAGCAGGCAGAGAGGAUAAUAAAGAGCUCGUGUGGGGUGUGGUGAGAGCCCUCAUGG